UCGUUGUCGUCGUUGCUCUCCUUCUCCGUCCAUGAAAUCACCUUGAAGCCUCGUUGGACGCCGUUAAAUUCCACUAGGCGAUCGUCGAAAAAUAUGGAAGGUACCGCAAGCUGGGACGUGAUCGAAUGGAGUAAAGUCGAUCCUAAUGAUAUACUAUUCUCUGUUUUCGUUGGAGGAUCAGCCAGCUUCUUGGUCAAGUUCUUUUUCAAGCCUGGAUUGCUUGCUGGAAUCUGAGAGUAUCACAUUCGAGGUGGAACGAAGACAUAAAGCUUGUGGAGUUGGACAUCAAGCUUGUGGAGCAAUCAAAUGUCAUUGAUGUGCCUGGUUUGUAUUAUAGAAACAUCCCUUCCCUUGCCUCAACUGUUAUUGAAGAGAUGUCGACUAAGAUGGAAGAAGUCAGAAAUGGGAUGGCUAAAGACGUUUUAUUUAGAUUUGGUUUGAAGGGUUACAAGAGUGACAAGAAGAUUCAAGAGCAACAAGAUCCAAGAGUAACAAGAUCAAAUAGAUAGCCUAAAAUCCUAGAUCUAGUCGCUCAGUGUGUUCAAUGGUCCAAAAGUCACCUUCUUGUUGCUUUCCUCUCCCUUUUUAUAGGACUCCUCCUGUCCCUGAUGCCCUAAUUUCGUACCUCUUUGGGCCUUGAUGCGAGAGGCCGAGAAUACGGGCCUGGACAAAGCUCCCUCCAAGCCAGGGACUCUUGGUCGGCUUACUCGACCGACUAAAAGUGCUCUAAGGUCGAGUCGAUAGAUUUAGCCGCCGAGCCGACCAAAUCGAUCCGACUUGCUGGAUUUGGACCUUUUAUUCGAUGGGCCUUGUGGAGGGGUGUAAUUUAUCUCCUACAAUAAUGAUGACUGCAGGCUAUACCUACUGAGGGUAACUCAGUUUUAUCCUUGUUUUAUCCUUAUAAAGUUGUUGCAGGGUUUUCGAAUUUGGAGGUUGAGUCUAAUCCAUGUUUUACUACCACCCGCAAGAACAUGAUCUAUGAGCUGUUGAUUCCUGCCAAUGUGGUGAAAGAAAAUGGGCUUACAUUUUGUGACCGCAUCAAGUACAUUGAUGGAGAAGGGAUCAUGGGGCUAAAGGCAAAUGGUCUGAUGAUAGGAUUUGCUUCAAGGGAUGGGACAGGAUUUGCAGAAGAAACAGGCUUAAAGAGGGUGAUACUGUCCACUGUGAGAUGCUUCAUAUCAGGAAGAAAGUUCACUCAAUCAAAAUCACAAUCACUCGUGGCUGAAUCCAUCAUCAUCAUUAGCAGUUCAUCACCACACCCUUCAUCCAUCACUCAUCAUCACCACUAUCAAAACAGUUAUCUAUGUCUUAGUAUGGCUUUUGUUUGUUUUAUGAGUGUUGCAGUUUUCUUCUCAGGUUUUUAUCUUAGUAGUACUUUCUUUAUCCCCAAGCAACCAUGAACUUAUUGAUGUUUAAUGUUUGUAUUUUAAAUGAGGUUCAAAUCA